rnacentral:lncRNA from 1 species
CAAAGUCAUCUGUAAGUUCCUAUUGUCUUGGGGAAUAGCCCCAACAUAACUUUGUCCCAAUGGGUAGAGAAAUUUGCUUGUUGCCAUGCUGUUGUGGCAUAGGUUAAGCUUUUCUGAAUUAAUUAUAGACCAAUUUAAUUCAUUGUACCUUUUAUGGGAGAUAUGAUAGACUCAAGUUAGCACUAUGCCAGUGUAAAACCUAGGACUAGAGGUUCCUUUGUUUUAGAUACUCUAUCCUCUGUUAAGAAGUGGAAGUCUGAUUUCUUUUAUGUUAUUAAGAAGUGGCAGUUUCACUCAACUGAGAUGGAUAGAAAUAACGUCAUUCCUAUUUGUUGCCAUAAAUUGUGUAAGUGUGCCUCGAUUUAUCUUCCAAAAUUCUGAUGUGUUUUGACUUCUGACCCCCUAUCUCUUUUCUAGCAAAUUAUGUUCCUCCUGAAAUAACCCUAUAAGUUAGGUGAAGAGAAAUAGUGAUUAGAGCUUUAACAAGGACGAAGAUUGUGUGGCUUCUUGAUAUCAGACCCCAGCUACUUCCAAGCAGGAUUGUUUCUUCGUAAUUUCAUGCCUCAACCUUCAAGUAAGUUAUGGAAGUCUUUACCUUAGCCUUAUUAUGGUAUUUUCUUAUCCUUCAAAUAACUUUUUUAUAUUCAAAUUCGCCUGAUAAAUAUGCUUUUCUUUUGUAGGUCAAACCCCAUUAAUAUUGGGAUACAAAGCUUCUUAGGCAUCUAAGAAAUGUACAAUGAUAGAGCUCAAAAAGUCUCAAAAAAAGGUGAGAUCUCAUCGAAGGGAAGUAAGACACCUCUUUGGCUAAGAAAACCAAAUCCACUAUUUCAGCCAAGGUAUUUCAGCCUCUGACUGCUAUUCCUUACCUAACUUCUCCCAUUGGUUCCCCUGUUAGAGAGGCUAUUACUACUGUCGCUUCAACACCUGCGACCUCAGGCAUUUCUUGUUCACAUUUUCCUUUCCCCAAUCUCCAGUACCCCGAUAUUGAAGCUAUGGUUGGAACUCACCCAGAGAUAUUCCUAGAUUUCUUCAAGCACCAUCACUUUCCAAAGAUAUGAUCUCAUCUUUCCCUUUUACUAUUAGAGACUCAGCUAACCUACUAACAAGAAGCUGUAAUGAAAGAAAACAAAGGUUUUUGGAAGAGAUGUCUAUAGAUGAGGUAUGUAUUACUGCAAAGCUAUACAGUGAUCAUUCUGUUUUAUAUAUGAUGAAUGUGGCCAUGAAGAUAUGUUCCUCUUUUUCUUUUUUCUUUUUGAACUCUCUAUUGAAUAAUCAAAAUUGACUUGUUCAUAGGUCAAUGCUAAGAUUGAAAAAGUGGUUGCUUUGAGGAAUGAGGCCUUAGCUACUUUCUAGGUUGUUAAGGCUGACAAAGUCCAAAAGACAAAGGAGAAGAAAGAACAUGAGCAUAGACUUUGCACCUUGGAGGCCGAACUAAAGGCUAAGGUCGUUGUUAGGUCUAAGCUUGAGAAAGAGUUGGCAUCAACUAAGUUACAGAGUGAGGAGGCCAACAUUUGAGCUUACAAUGAAAAAUUGAAGGAUGAAGAGGAAUGAAAAAAUAUCGAUGAGGUAGAUGCUAGGACAAUCAAAGCCAUAGAGCUCUAGAAAGUGUUUCCAAAGUUCAACGCAUUGGCUCAGAAUGCCCACAUCGUCAGCUUGGUCGAGGUGAUAAUGCACAUAGAAAAAAUACAACUGUGUUUGCACUUCAUCAAAAGACAAAUAGUAGUCUUCAUGCCUUUUUGAUGUUUAUCUGUAAUACCUCUUUUAGUUAGGUUGAUCAAGAUAGGUCUUUUUAAUCUGGCCUCCCAAGCAUGGUCGACGUUCCCUUCUUAGAACAUAUUUACCCUUGACCUAGGUUGAUCAAAAUUGCAUGAUCUUAUUCUUACCUCAGCAUGGUCCUUCCGUACGACGCCCACUCCACCUGGGGUAAGAAACUUCAUACAAUAAUGGUAAAUUGAAUUGGCUAUCUUUAAUUCAUGCAAUAUAAGCUUCCCAAGAUUGCAUUAUAACAAGAUGAUAAGUCGACUACUACAAAAUCAGCAAUGGUCCUCCUCUUGUAGGGUACAUCUCCUAGUUCAACAGUUAGGACAAUCUGACCUCACAUUUCAAUGUGAUCUAUCGUAAAGUCUUUCAAUUUAUAGAAGUGGGAUGUAUUUGUUCCAAAGUUUUAAAAUAUAAGAUAUUAACAAAAGACUUAUAAUCUACAAGAGUUAGAUAUAUGUUAAUUCUGGUGACAUGCAUGGUGGUGAUUAUUAAGGUGUCAAUUUAGUUCUACAAUACUCCAUGAGAAUCUUCUUUUGAAAUCCCAAACCAUUUGGGACUCUACCUUAGUAUAAGGUUGAUCUUACAUUGUCCUACCUCAUAUUUAUACCAAAUACAUGCAUCUCUGGCCUGUUCGCGAUGCUCACUUCUUAAACCUUUUGCACACUAAUUUUUACCUAUUAGCAUCCUGAUUUCAACAUUGGAAUGGGAAUUCCUUGCUUGUGAACCUGGAAGAGCUGACUGUAAAUUCUCAUACUAGUAUAGAUGUGGUGGCUGAAGAGAUAUUUGGGUUGUUUUUUAUAAGUAUAUUUUUACACACUUUAUAGGCAUUUUAAUGAGCUAUUUAUUGAUGAAAUUGAGCGAAUUUUUAUUCAUAAAUGUGUAAUUGUGGUGUUUGUAGGCCAAAAUCCCAAAUUGGAGGAGAAAACGGCUAAAGGAAGAGAGGACCAAAAGUGCAAAAGUACUGAAAGUUUAGGGACCUAGGUUGCAAUAUUUUAUAUGGGCAUGGUUAAAAGAAAAGUCAAAAUUUGAGGACUAAAAUGUACAAUAUGAAAGUUGAGGGAUUGAAUGCGCAAUUACCAAAGGACUAGAGCUUCAAUAAGAGCAAAAUAGGGAAGUGGCGUCGUGGUUUUGUCCAUUUGAUAGCACUGUAGCGCUGCAGCGCCACGUACAAGGCGUCGCAACGCCGUAGCCAUGGCUAGGGUCCAUUUGGCUUUUUUUUUUAAUUAAUUGAGGACCAUUUUGCAAUUAACAAAACACGAUUUUUGAGCCAUUUAAAGGGCAAAUUGAACCAUUUUUUUCCCAUUCUUCAUCCAUUUCAAAACCCUAGCAUAGGGAGAAAAAGGGGACAAGCAAAAAAAGAGGGGAAAUAUCACACAAAGAGGAGGAAAAUCUUGGAGAAAUCAAAACCAAAACUAAGCAAGAUUCAAUGGUCCGACCAAGGGACAGGUUUAUUUCUUUAUAUUGUAAUUUACAUUAUAUUUUUCUCAACUUUUGUCACGUAUUUCUUUAAUAUUUUCACUUUGAGCCUUUUAAACACAAUGGGCUAAAUAUUUUGGUAUUGGGAUGAAUGAGGAAGUUUGGCCAAACUAUAUUAAUUUCAAUGUUUA